rnacentral:miRNA from 14 species
GCUCUUUUCACAUUGUACUACU